GACGAACGCUGGCGGCGUGCCUAAUACAUGCAAGUUGAGCGCUGAAGGUUGGUACUUGUACCAACUGGAUGAGCAGCGAACGGGUGAGUAACGCGUGGGGAAUCUGCCUUUGAGCGGGGGACACCAUUUGGAAACGAAUGCUAAUACCGCAUAAAAACUUUAAACACAAGUUUUAAGUUUGAAAGAUGCAAUUGCAUCACUCAAAGAUGAUCCCGCGUUGUAUUAGCUAGUUGGUGAGGUAAAGGCUCACCAAGGCGAUGAUACAUAGCCGACCUGAGAGGGUGAUCGGCCACAUUUGGACUGAGACACGGCCCAUACGCCUGCGGGAGGCAGCAGUAGGGAAUCUUCGGCAAUGGACGAAAGUCUGACCGAGCAACGCCGAGUGAGUGAAGAAGGUUUUCGGAUCGUAAAACUCUGUUGGUAGAGAAGAACGUUGGUGAGAGUGGAAAGCUCAUCAAGUGACGGUAACUACACAGAAAGGGACGGCUAACUACGUG
rnacentral:rRNA from 1 species